CCCUUAGAUGUUCGGGGCCGCACGCGCGCUACACUGAAGGAAUCAGCACGUCUUUCUCCUUGUCCGAAAGGACUGGGUAACCCGCUGAACCUCCUUCGUGCUAGGGAUUGGGGCUUGUAAUUCUUCCCCAUGAACGAGGAAUUCCCAGUAAGCGCGAGUCAUAAGCUCGCGUUGAUUACGUCCCUGCCCUUUGUACACACCGCCCGUCGCUACUACCGAUUGGAUGGUUCAGUGAGAUCCUCGGAUUGGUCCCGGCGCGGCCUCUGGUCGUGCCGGAGUGCCGAAAAGAAUGUCGAACUUGAUCAUCUAGAGGAAGUAAAAGUCGUAACA
rnacentral:rRNA from 1 species